rnacentral:rRNA from 1 species
AGCUCCAGUAGCGUAUAUUAAAGCUGUUGCGGUUAAAAAGCUCGUAGUUGGAUAUCAGUGCGUGUCCGGUCCGGUAUGCCUGGCGGCGGCGCUCGCGCGUCACUGCUGGGCUCCCAAAUAUCGGCUGGCCGCAUUCAAUCGUGCCGGAUCCGUCGUCGGGCCGUUCUUCGGAGGGGCCUGAUGGCGACCGGCGACGUUACCUUGAACAAAUUAGAGUGCUCAAAGCAGGCUCUUAAUGCCUGUAUACAUAUUCAUGGAAUUGGAGAAUACGUCCCUGGCUCGAUUUGGUUGGUUUUGAGAGUCGAAGGGAAAUGAUUAAUAGGGACUGACGGAGGCAUUCGUAUUGCGACGCGAGGGGUGAAAUCCUGUGACCGUCGCACGACGAACUACUGCGAAAGCAUUUGCCGAGAAUGUUUUCA